GACGAACGCUGGCGGCGUGCUUAACACAUGCAAGUCGAACGAAGUGGCGAACGGGUGAGUAACGCGUAAUCAACCUGCCCUUCAGAGGGGGACAACAGUUGGAAACGACUGCUAAUACCGCAUACUGAAGGAGGGGAUUGCGUCUGAUCUGCUAGUUGGAGGGGUAACGGCCCACCAAGGCGAUGAUCAGUAGCCGGGCUGGGAGGAGGAACGGCCACAUUGGGAAUUGGACCCGGCCCAGACUUCUACGGGAGGCAGCAGUGGGGAAUCUUCCGAAAUGGACGAAAGUCUGACGGAGCAACGCCGCGUUAGGGAUGACGGCCUUCGGGUUGUAAAGCUCUGUUAAUCGGGACGCGGUACCGGAAUAGAAAGCCACGGCUAACUACGUGCCAGCAGCCGCGGUAAUUC
rnacentral:rRNA from 1 species